AACUUAAUGGCUAAGAAUUCAGCCAUGAUAUGCUAGAAAAUCCUGGAAAGAAUUUAUUAAUUUGUUGUAGCUAAAUUAGGCUGAAUGGGCAUGAAUGAAGCAUUAAAAUUUUGGUUCAUGCUUGGAGAUGAUGCAUGGACUGGCCGAAUCAUCAUGUUGCUUCACUUGAUGCAUUCAUGCAUCCUUAACCUUGAAGAAAGCUUAAUUCCAUAGAUGUGCAACCCCUUCAUUGUUCCAAC
rnacentral:lncRNA from 1 species